AUGAAAAUUUGUAAAAAAGCGUAAGUUGUUAUUAAUAUAUUAGUCUAGACUUCUUUUGAUUUUAUUUUUAAUAUAUAUAUAUAUAUAUAUACUUUUAAUUGUGUGAAUAUGCAUGUAUUUAUAAUCUUACUGAUAUUGUGUGAUAUACUACUAUAACAUGUAUCCUGAGUUUUAUAUUCGCCAUAGUUUAUAAUGCUAUACUACAAUUAGGGGUAUCAAAAUGGGUCAAAAUUCAUUGGUCAACUCAAUUCAACUCAACCCAUAAACCGUAAUGAGUUGAAAAUUUUGACUCAAAUGAGUUGAUGAGUCAAAUGAUUUGAUGAGUCAAUUGGUUUGAUGAAUAAAAUAAGUUAGGUUGUAAUGGUUAAUGGUUUCAAUGGUUUACCCAAUUAACCCAUCAAGUUUUGUAAAAUUGAAUUAAACCAACUAAAAUCUCUAAACCAAUGCCAAUUUAAGUUUAACUAACACAUCUAAACCAAUUUAAUAAAAUUAAUAUUUUUCCAAAUUUCUUAAACAUACAAGCGAUGAAAUUGAGAAAAAGUAAACUCGUAAAUUUUCCACCAAAAAACAUAAACCCGUGAUUUUUCCACCAAAAAAUAUAAACUCGUGAUUUUUCCGCCAAAAACGUAAACCCGUGAUUUUCCCACCAAAAACGUAAACUCGUGAUUUUCCCGUCAAAAACGUAAACCCGUGAAUUUCCCGCCAAAAACAUAAACCCGUGAUUUUCCCGCCAAAAACGUAAAUCCGUAAUUUUCCCGCCAAAAACGUAAACUCGUAAUUUUCCCACCAAAAAACGAAAACCCGUGAUUUUCCCGUCAAAAACGUAAACCCGUGAUUUUCCCGCCAAAAACAUAAAUCCGUGAUUUUCCCACCAAAAACGUAAACCCGUGAUUUUCCCGUCAAAAACGUAAACCCGUGAAUUUCCCGCCAAAAACAUAAACCCGUGAUUUUCCCGCCAAAAACGUAAAUCCGUAAUUUUCCCGCCAAAAACGUAAACUCGUAAUUUUCCCACCAAAAAACGAAAACCCGUGAUUUUCCCGUCAAAAACGUAAACCCGUGAUUUUCCCGCCAAAAACAUAAACCCGUGAUUUUCUCGCCAAAAACGUAAAUCCGUGAUUUUCCCGCCAAAAACGUAAACCCAAGAUUUUCCCGCCAAAAACGUAAACCCGUCAUUUUCCCGCUAGAAACGUAAAUCCGUAAUUUUCCCGUCAAAACCGUAAACCUAUAAUUUUUCGCCAAAAACGUAAACCCGUGAUUUUUCCACCAAAAACGUAAACCCGUAAAAAGUGGAAUCCGUAAAUAUUCUAAGUUUGAUGAUAAUAAAUUAAUAAUGAUAAUUAUUUAUUAUUGUUUUAUAAUAAUAAUUAAUUAAAUUAUUAUUUAAAUGGGUUAACCUAUUUAACAACUCAACCCAUCAAAUUAAAUGAGUUAUGAGUUGACUCAACCCAUUUAACAAAAUGAGUUGGGUUAACCCAUAACUCAUUUAACCUUAAACUCAUUUGAUUAUGACUUGAGUUGAGUUGAGUUACCCAUUUUAACACCCCUAACUACAACUAUGUAAUUCUGUAAUUCGCUUUUUUCUUAACAGUUUUUGUGAUAUUAUGUGAAUAUUCAUGCAUGUUAGGUGUAAUUUUAACCAUCAAAAUUAUACUGCAUAAAUUCCAUUAUAAAUAUGUUGAAUUAUAUAAACAAGGUAAAGAAAUCAAUAAUAUUUUAGAAGAAUUUAUGAAGGAUCGACAUCGGCCGCGAUCGGUGAGGGCUAGUCACUAGUGUUUUGUUUCAUUUCAGUAAUUUUUGUGAU
rnacentral:sRNA from 1 species